rnacentral:rRNA from 1 species
GACGAACGCUGGCGGCGUGCUUAACACAUGCAAGUCGAACGGAAAGGCCCUGCUUUUGUUCGGUGCUCGAUUGGCGAACGGGGGAGUAACACGUGAGUAACCUGCCCUUGACUUUGGGAUAACUUCAGGAAACUGGGGCUAAUACCGGAUAGGAGCUCCUGCUGCAUGGUGGGGGUUGGAAAGUUUCGGCGGUUUGGGAUGGUUUCGCGGCUUAUCAGCUUGUUAGUCGGGUAGUGGCUUACCAAGGCUUUGACGGGUAGCCGGCAUGAGAGCGUGACCGGGCACAAUGGGCCUGCGAGACGGACCAGUAGGGUACCGGAGGCAGUAGGCGGAAACCUUACGGAGCGGGGCCGCGUGUGUUACGACAACGUUGGGUGCGGGAUGCUGGGUUAUGAGGUGAGAACAGCUUUCGAAGGUGCUGAACAGGGCGUGACGGUAAUGGGUCAAGAAGCCACGGCUAACUACGUG